CUAUCUAUACUAUAUUAAAAGGGAUAUAUGAGCUCCAUUGAGCCUGUCCACGUCAGCAUAAAAAAUCAACCAAUAGGGAAUCAGAUAUUCGCCACGUCAGAAGCUCCGCGCGUGUCAUUUGGGCCUCGCAUUCUACAGGCCCGAUAAUGUUCGGAAUCGAGAAACCCGUGGCUCUCUGAAGCCCCCUUUCCCCUUUCCACGAAGAACCAACCCUAAUUUAUCAAAAUGGAUCUUCGACCCCCUUUCUCUUCCUAUUCUCUGUUUACUACGUUACACGAAUCUUUAUGGCGAUGGAGGCUUGCCGCAGAAAAACUUGCCGUCGCCGGCUCAACCUCCGUCUGAGAGCCAGAGAACCGCGGCGGAGGAACCAAGGACCUCAGCGACAACAAUUGGAGCCUAGAGCACGUCGCCCGCGCUUUCUGUGAACACCGCUAUGAUAAACCUGAGAAGAAGUCGAAGCCGGUGCCAUUAUCACACGACCGUAGUCAUACUGAGCUGUGGUAUCUGCACGGAUUCUCAGAGAAUGAAGGAUCGGCCUAUACGAUGAAACAACUAAUUUUGCUAUAAACCACUGCAUCAUCAUCCAGUUUAAGAUACGUUUUGUUUAUUAGCUUUGGUGGUUGAUAAAUGGAGAUUUGAAAGCGGUUUCUAAAUUAGUUGAGCUACCUAUUUUGUCUGUUCUUGAGUUAAGUUGUGGACUUUUUCAUCUCUGAAUUUUCAACAUCCUUGAGCUGGUUAGGUUUAGCUUCUUUUUCUUUAAAGUUUAGGACUUCUUCCAUCUUUUGAUCUUCAUCUUUUCGUAGGUCUUUCAAUUCGGUGGCCUGGAAUUCUAACGGGAAAAGCUUGCUUCUGGCUCUGUUGAUCAAAUGGGUCAUAUUUGGUAAAUCAAACCUCACGCUUAGAUUUUUGUUUACAGAUCCAGAUCACGGGUCUCAUUCCUCUCUUUGAAUUCACUGUUAACGACAUCUCAAGCAAAUCGACAACCUUAGAUAAGAAGAUAUGGGUUUACAUGUUCAUCACUGCUGCAUGUAGGAGCUGGAUCAUUCAUUCUCCAAUAAAUUCUGGCUCAGUCAAGACAUUUCUUGCAGGCGCUCUUUUGAUAUUUGUAAAGAGAACAUUUUUACCAAAUGGAUGUAUAUUGCAAGCAAUUUAUCAUUGAGCAUAAUGAUAUUAAUUGCCACUCGAUUUCCCAUUCAGGUAACAAUACUCUUUUAAAAUAAUUGUCACAUAAUGAUUGUUUGCAGGAAUAGCCAUUACAAAAGAAGCUUUGGGAUUUUGGACGGUGAAGUUGUUUCGAAAGAUGGGGUGUGGAUGCUAUUGUUUCCCAAUUAGUGAAAUGGGUGAUGCAUGCUAUGCUGCCACAUAGCACAAUGGAUACUCUUUUGGCUAUGGGAGCUUUCGUUUCAGCAAGAUUUCUUAAGUUUCUUCUUAGCACAACGGUUCACAAUAGGAAAAGCUUUGUGGUUCAAAGUAAGAGACUGGUCUUUGCGGGUUAGGGACGUCCAGUGCAUGGAUGAGCUGAUUUUCUUAGUCCUGGAAGUGGAUUGCAGAACAGUGUCUCCACGUCUCCUUACGG